AAAACUGAAUAGUUCCAAGCCCGCGCCGCCUACGGGAAACUAUGGAGGUCGGGCCUAAACUCCUUGGGGUUUACGGGGUAUCGCCGGAAACGGCGGUGCCUUCCAAAAUUGAGAAGGAACAAAUUGCUGUGCGUC
rnacentral:ncRNA from 2 species